AACACAUGAUCAACUUACCCUAUUGAGAAAGAUAACCUCGGGAAACUGAGGAUAAUAUUUCAUAGUUGAAUUGGCUUGGAAAAGUUUUUCAACAAAAGGGAUAGGGAAAAUGGUCUCUAUCCGCUAUAGGAUAGGAUCGUGUUCGAUUAUGGUAGUUGGUGAGGUAAAGGCUCACCAAGCCGAUAAUCGAUAGGGGCCGUGAGAGCGGGAGCCCCGAGAUGGGUACUGAGACAACGACCCAGGCCUUACGAGGCGCAGCAGGUACGAAACCUCCACAAUACACGAAAGUGUGAUGGGGUUACCCAAAGUGUUCAUUAUUGAACUGUGGUAGGAGAGUAAUGUCCCCUACUAGAAAGGAGAGGGCAAGGCUGGUGCCAGCCGCCGCGGUAAAACCAGCUCUUCAAGUGGUCGGGAUAAUUAUUGGGCUUAAAGUGUCCGUAGCCGGUUUAGUAAGUUCCUGGUAAAAUCGGGUAGCUUAACUAUCUGUAUGCUAGGAAUACUACUAUACUAGAGGGCGGGAGAGGUCUGAGGUACUACAGGGGUAGGGGUGAAAUCUUAUAAUCCUUG
rnacentral:rRNA from 1 species